rnacentral:rRNA from 1 species
UGGAUUCAGCGGCGGACGGGUGAGUAAUGCCUAGGAAUCUGCCUGGUAGUGGGGGAUAACGUCCGGAAACGGGCGCUAAUACCGCACACGUCCUGAGGGAGAAAGUGGGGGAUCUUCGGACCUCAGGCUAUCAGAUGAGCCUAUGUCGGAUUACCUAGUUGGUGGGGUAAAGGCCUACCGGGGCCACGAUCCCUAACUGGUCUGAGAGGAUGAUCAGUCACAGUGGAACUGACACACUGUCCCUACUCCUACGGGAGGCAUCCUUGGGGAAUAUUGGACAAUGGGCCAAAGCCUGAGCCAGCCAUGCCGCGUGUGUGAAGAAGGUCUUCUGAUUGUAGAGCACUUUAAGUUGGGAUGAAUGGCAGUGAGUUAAUACCUUGCUGUUUUGACGUUACCAACAUAAUAAGCACCGGCUAACUUCGUGCCAGCAGCCUCGGUGAUACCAACGGUGCAAGCGUUAAUCUGAAUUACUGGGCGUAAAGCGCGCGUACGUGGUUCACCAAGUUGGAUGUGAAAUCCCCGGACUCAACCUGGGAACUGCAUCCAAAACUACUGAGCUAGAGUACGGUAGACGGUGGUGGAAUUUACUGUGUAGCAGUUAAAUGCGUAGAUAUAAGAAGGAACACCAUUGGCAAAAGCGACCACCUGGACUGAUACUGACACUGAUGUGCGAAAGCCUGAGGAGCAAACACGAUUAGAUACCCUGGUAGUCCACGCCGUGGACGAUGUCGACUAGCCGUUGGGAUCCUUGAGAUCUUAGUGGCGCAGCUCACGCGAUAAGUCGACCGCCUGGGGAGUACCGCCGCGAGGUUAAACUCAAAUGAAUUGACGGGGGCCCGCACAAGCGGUG